rnacentral:rRNA from 1 species
GACGUAGGGCGCAAGCGUUGUCCGGAAUUAUUGGGCGUAAAGAGCUCGUAGGCGGCUUGUUGCGUCGACUGUGAAAAACCACGACUCAACCGUGGGACUGCAGUCGAUACGGGCAGGCUAGAGUUCGGUAGGGGAGACUGGAAUUCCUGGUGUAGCGGUGAAAUGCGCAGAUAUCAGGAGGAACACCGGUGGCGAAGGCAGCUCUCUGGGACGGUACUGACGCUGAGGCGCGAAAGCUAGGGGAGCAAACGGG